AUUGAACGCUGGCGGCAGGCCUAACACAUGCAAGUCGAACGAGGGGCGGACGGGUGAGUAAUGUCUGGGAAACUGCCUGAUGGAGGGGGAUAACUACUGAAAACGGUAGAUAAUACCGCAUAACAUCAGAUGUGCCCAGAUGGGAUUAGCUUGUUGGGGGGGUAACGGCUCAGCAAGGCGACGAUCACUAGCUGGUCUGAGAGGAUGACCAGUCACACGGGAGCUGAGACAAGGUCCAGAAUCCUACGGGAGACAGCAGUGGGGAAUAUUGCACAGUGGGCGCAAGCCUGUUGCACCCAUGCGGCGUGUAUGAAGAAGGCCUUCGGGUUGUAAAGUACUUUAAGUGGGGAGGCGUUACCUGCAGAAGAAGCACCGGCUAACUCCGUGCCAGCAGCCGCGGUAAUUC
rnacentral:rRNA from 1 species